rnacentral:rRNA from 1 species
UAACAAGCUAUAAAUUAACUUUAUUCCUUUUGCAUAAGGAUUAGUUAAAAAUAAGAAAAUUUUCUAUCAAAGAAAAACACCCAGCUAAAACAAUAAAACCUAUAUAUUAAAUAGAUUUAAAAUAUAGUUUUAAGUAAUAUGCAAUUACGGUGAUUGAUAACUUUUCAAUUUAUACCUUAAGGAUAAUCUUACUCCAAAUCCAUCGAUUAUUAUAAAAACCAAAUUUUAGGAUUAGAAGUAACCAAACUAUUAAUUUGUAGUAAAAUAUUAAUUAUACACAUUAUAACAUUACCGUCUUUUAAAAUUUUAAUUUGAAAAAACGUUUAUUCAGAAAAAAAAUAAUUACGUUAGUAAGAUCAAGUAAAAUUUAAAUUAAAACUCAGCCCAAAAUAUACUACUGUUUAAUAAAAACAUUGCAAUAUCCUUAUAUUGUAAAUCUCCUGCCCAAUGAUAAGUUAAAUGGCCGCAGUAAUCUGACUGUGCAAAGGUAGCAUAAUCAUUUGUUUAUUAAUUUUAAACUAGAAUGAAAGGAAUAAAGUAUAUUGACUGUUAAUUAAAAUCUAACAUAAAUCUUUACCUAAGUGCAAAAACUUAGAAUAAAAAUACAAACGAGAAGACCCUGGGAAUUUUAAUAUUUUUAUUGGGACAAUAUAAAACUAUAUUUCUAAUUAACAAAUAAUACUAACAAAAAAAAAUUACCCCAGGGAUAACAGCACAAUAAUCAUUGAGAGAUCUCAUCCAAAUGAUUGAUUAUGACCUCGAUGUUGAAUCAUUUGAAUAUAUAGUUUGCAGAAGAACCUUAUUUUCGUCUGUUCGACGAUGGAACAUUACGUGAUUUGAGUUUAAACCGUUGCGAAACAGGUUGGAUUCUCUUUUAUUUUUUUAUACUAAGCCUAAACUUAGUACGAAAGGACCAGCACAGAUAAUAAAACUGAUUAUGAUAAAAUUUUUCCGUACAUUCACUUUUAUUUUAUUGCUUCCUGUCAUAUAUGUUUUACUACGUGAAUACCUAGCUUUACCCCUCCAGACCAUUGCCAGCUCCUAUAGCGGAGAGAGAACA